rnacentral:rRNA from 1 species
CCCUUAGAUGUUCUGGGCCGCACGCGCGCUACACUGAUGCAUUCAACGAGUUUCUUCCUGGUCCGAGAGGAAUGGGUAACCUUUUGAAAGUGCAUCGUGAUAGGGAUAGACUAUUGCAAUUAUUGGUCUUCAACGAGGAAUUCCUAGUAGACGUAGUUCAUCAGACUGCAUCGAUUACGUCCCUGCCCUUUGUUCACACCGCCCGUCGCUCCUACCGAUUGAAUGCUCAGGUGAGCCAUUCGGACUUUCAUCAUGCUGGUUUCCAGUUUUGAUGAAGGAAAGUCUUGCGAACCUUAUCAUUUAGAGGAAGGAGAAGUCGUAACA